UCGGGAAUUUUGUGCAAUGGGCGAAAGCCUGACACAGCAACGCCGCGUGAAGGAUGAAGUCCCUCGGGAUGUAAACUUCGUAAGAAUAGGAAGAAUAAAUGACGGUACUAUUUGUAAGGUCCGGCUAACUACGUGCCAGCAGCCGCGGUAAUACGUAGGGACCAAGCGUUGUUCGGAUUUACUGGGCGUAAAGGGUGCGUAGGCGGCAUAUCAAGUCACUUGUGAAAUCUCCGGGCUUAACUCGGAACUGCCAAGUGAUACUGAUGUGCUAGAGUGCAGAAAGGGCAACUGGAAUUCUUGGUGUAGCGGUGAAAUGCGUAGAUAUCAAGAGGAACACCUGAGGUGAAGACGGGUUGCUGGGCUGACACUGACGCUGAGGCGCGAAAGCCAGGGGAGCAAACGGGAUUAGAUACCCACGUAGUCCCUGAGCGGGCUGGCAAGGCGCAU
rnacentral:rRNA from 1 species